GAUGAACGCUAGCGGAAGGCUUAAUACAUGCAAGUCGAGCGGUAAAAAUCUGAGCAAUUGGAUUUGAGAGCGGCGCACGGGUGAGUAACGCGUACAUGACCUACCUUUAAGAUCGGGAUAGCCCUGGGAAACUGGGAUUAAUACCGGAUGUGAUAAUAAGUAUAGAGAUUUAUUAUUAAAGCUGAGGCGCUUAGAGAUGGGUGUGCGUCUGAUUAGCUAGUUGGUAGGGUAAAGGCCUACCAAGGCGACGAUCAGUAGGGGGCGUGAGAGCGUGAUCCCCCACACGGGUACUGAGACACGGACCCGACUCCUACGGGAGGCAGCAGUAGGGAAUAUUGGUCAAUGGACGGAAGUCUGAACCAGCCAUUCCGCGUGCAGGAAGAAGAUUCUAUGGAUUGUAAACUGCUUUUAGUCAGAGAAGAAAAGACCUUCAUUGAUGGGGGUCUGACGGUAUCUGCGGAAUAAGCACCGGCUAACUCCGUGCCAGCAGCCGCGGU
rnacentral:rRNA from 1 species